ensembl:lncRNA
AUGUUAAUAGAAAAAAAAGUCAACACAAUUUCUUGCUUCAUUUUUUCUUUUUACUUGAAAACUUGUUUAACCUUCAAAUUUUGGCAGUUACAAACCUGUACACUGUUGAUUUAUUAUUUUUUGGCUAUCUUUUUAUUUUUUGUUUUUGUUGCUUUGUUUUUCUUUCUUUUUUUAGAAAAAGACCACAAGACUGAAUACUACCAACAGCAAUCUAUGCAGGAACAAUUCAUCUCCUGGAGGGCAUUUCAUGAACGCGUGGUGCAUGGCUACAUGGAAAGCUGGCAUGGAAUGGACAUCAGCAGCACAAUACCAACAAAGGAAAGGGAAUGAAGGAAGUAAUUCCAUUAUUCACUUUCUGCUGCCCCACAAACCAACAACCUGACCAGAAUGUGUGCAAUGCAAGUAAAGUGCCUAUAACAGGUAGUGGAAAAUGGCUUGCAGGUACAUGUUAGGAAAAAAAAAAAGGAAAGCUUCUAAUUAGUUUAAAUAUGUUCCACAUGUUUCACUACAGUGGAAAAAUGGCCGGGAAAACAUCAGCCGGUAUUGAUGUGAAGGAAAAAACCAAAAUCAGACAUGUACCUAGCAGGUACUAUUAUCACCCAUUCCACUACAAUUGAUGACUGGUCUGAGUUCACUUCUGUAAUUAUCAUUCCACCCUCAUUUUAGCAACAUUCAUUUGGCAAAAGCAACAUUUUGGUAAAUGUCCAAAGAAAUGUGUGAAUUCUGUAACUACACCCUUCCUAGAGGGCUGCCAAGAAACAUGAGCUUAUGAGGCUUCCAGAGAAAUUUUCUCCAUGAGAUUUCUUGCAUAUUGCAAAGAAUGGAAGGUGGGAAGACCAAGGGCCCAUCACAAGCAAGUGGCUGCCCUCUCAAGGUAGUAGAGUGGUAAUCACUGUACUACAGAAAGGAGAUUGGAUAGAUGGAUAGGUCUAGUCUUUGCUCAGCUACUUACUUCCUAUGUGAGCCUGGGAAAUCAUCUCUCCCUCUCUGGACAUGUUUUCCUUUUUAUAAAAUAUGAGGGUUGGAUUAACCAAAUCUUAAGGACUUUUCAGUUCUUUGAGUCAAUGGUUAUCCCUCCUACCUUCCAUCCAUGGCCUGACUGCAAACCAGAAGAGGUAUCAUAUGUUUAAAGAUAAUGAAUCAAAACACAACACAUGAUUGUCUAAUAUGUAUUUAGCUGUAGAGCUAUUUUGCAGAAAAUCAAGGGAAGAAGAUAUCUUGAAGAAAGAGGUAUUUUAUAUAGGUCAGAGCGAAGGGUGGGCACACUUUUCUUCGGUGAUUUCUCAACUGCACUAGGAUCUAUUUAUUCCUUCACUAGUGUGUCAGGCAGGCAUUUUUCCCUCAAAGAAAUGCUGUGUAAGCAACAGUGACACAUCAGCGUUAAUCUCAUUCUAAUAUUUCCUGGGGGCAAGAAAUGAAUUGUUGGUUUUACUUUGAUGGUUUUUAUGUCACUGCAUUAUUAAAAGCAUAGCGGUGAUUCUAUUCUAGACCAUUAGUUUGUCAUUUUCAAUGCAAUCCUUGCAAAUGUGCUUCUUGCAUAAGAAAAAUACCAGACUAUUUGCAAAAUCAGUCUUAGUGAAAUUCAUUUAUCUCAAGACCACAGUAUGGACAAUGCCUUCCACGAGUAGUUCUGACCAAGAGACAGGAAGAGAAAGGAUACCUGUGAGAUGUAUUCAUUUACUCAGGGAAGUAUGGGAAUAAAGGAUUAAAAAAAAAAACCUUUCA